rnacentral:rRNA from 1 species
UGGGGAAUAUUGGACAAUGGGCGAAAGCCUGAUCCAGCCAUGCCGCGUGUGUGAAGAAGGUCUUCGGAUUGUAAAGCACUUUAAGUUGGGAGGAAGGGCAUUAACCUAAUACGUUAGUGUUUUGACGUUACCGACAGAAUAAGCACCGGCUAACUCUGUGCCAGCAGCCGCGGUAAUACAGAGGGCGCAAGCGUUAAUCGGAAUUACUGGGCGUAAAGCGCGCGUAGGUGGUUUGUUAAGUUGGAUGUGAAAUCACCGGGCUCAACCUGGGAACUGCAUUCAAAACUGACUGACUAGAGUAUGGUAGAGGGUGGUGGAAUUUCCUGUGUAGCGGUGAAAUGCGUAGAUAUAGGAAGGAACACCAGUGGCGAAGGCGACCACCUGGACUAAUACUGACACUGAGGUGCGAAAGCGUGGGGAGCAAACA